UACGUAGGGUGCGAGCGUUAAUCGGAAUUACUGGGCGUAAAGCGUGCGCAGGCGGUUCGUUGUGUCGGCGGUGAAAGCCCCGGGCUCAACCUGGGAAUGGCCGUUGAAACUGGCGAACUGGAGUGUGGCAGAGGGGGGUGGAAUUCCGCGUGUAGCAGUGAAAUGCGUAGAGAUGCGGAGGAACACCGAUGGCGAAGGCAACCCCCCUGGGCUAACACUGACGCUCAGGCACGAAAGCGUGGGGAGCAAACAGG
rnacentral:rRNA from 1 species